UACAGAGGGUGCAAGCGUUGUUCGGAAUUAUUGGGCGUAAAGGGCGCGUAGGCGGUGCGGUAAGUCUGCAGUGAAAUCUCUGGGCUCAACUCAGAGUCUGCUGUAGAAACUGCCGGGCUUGAGUAUGGGAGAGGUGAGUGGAAUUUCCGGUGUAGCGGUGAAAUGCGUAGAUAUCGGGAGGAACACCUGCGGCGAAAGCGGCUCACUGGACCACAACUGACGCUGAGGCGCGAAAGCUAGGGGAGCAAACAGG
rnacentral:rRNA from 1 species